GACGAACGCUGGCGGUGUGCUUCAUACAUGCAAGUCGAGCGAUGAGGUCCCUUCGGGGAUACAUCAGCGGCGGACGGGUGAGUAACACGUAGGUAACGUGCCUUGUACUGGGGGACAACACCGGGAAACCGGUGCUAAUACCGCAUAAGAUGCUGGCUGUAAUGCCAGUAUUUAAAGCUCCGGCGGUACAAGAUCGGCCUGCGUCAGAUUAGCUUGUUGGUGAGGUAAAAGCUCACCAAGGCGAUGAUCUGUAGUUGGUUUGAGAGGACGACCAGCCACAGUGGGACUGAGACACGGCCCAC
rnacentral:rRNA from 1 species